AUUAUGCCCUAAUUCACCCUUUGUUCGAACAUGUUCUUAUUUUUCAUUUCCUAGAUCCGAAGGAAAAAGAAAACAGGCGAACCAAGAGAAAGAUGGAGAGAAAGAAAAGAGAAGAUAGACGAGGAAAGUUGAAGACGAAGGCGAUUGGGGUUAAUUCGAUUGUCAAAACAAGUAACUCGGGAUAACAAGAACAUCCCAGAGCAUAAUAUAUUGGCAGUGAGGAAAGACCGAGAAAUUGGGAAAGCUUCUAGCAAGAAAUAAUCCUUUUUUUUCCUUGUCUGUAAAAUGUUGUGGUGACAUACAAUGUGUUCAUGUAUUUUUAGCUUAUGUAAUGGUGGCAGACAUGUUAACCUUAACCUUUAUCUUAUUUCGGUGGUUACAAUACUAAUUUGUAGUUUAUAACAGUGGAAAAAAAUCGAUGUGGCGUUUUUUUCUGUUCA